GACGAACGCUGGCGGCGUGCUUAACACAUGCAAGUCGAACGGAAAGGCCCUGCUUUUGUGGGGUGCUCGAGUAGCGAACGGGUGAGUAACACGUGAGUAACCUGCCCUUGACUUUGGGAUAACUUCAGGAAACUGGGGCUAAUACCGGAUAGGAGCUCCUGCUGCAUGGUGGGGGUUGGAAAGUUUCGGCGGUUGGGGAUGGACUCGCGGCUUAUCAGCUUGUUGGUGGGGUAGUGGCUUACCAAGGCUUUGACGGGUAGCCGGCCUGAGAGGGUGACCGGCCACAUUGGGACUGAGAUACGGCCCAGACUCCUACGGGAGGCAGCAGUGGGGAGUAUUGCACAAUGGGCGGAAGCCUGAUGCAGCAACGCCGCGUGCGGGAUGACGGCCUUCGGGUUGUAAACCGCUUUCGCCUGUGACGAAGCGUGAGUGACGGUAAUGGGUAAAGAAGCACCGGCUAACUACGUG
rnacentral:rRNA from 1 species